UACGACCAAAUCACGUUCAGACACCGGUUCUCGUACGAUCAAUGUAGUUAAGCAACGUCGGGCCUAGUUAAUAGCUAGAUGGGUGACCGCUUGAGAAUACCAGAUACUGAA